rnacentral:snRNA from 1 species
GAGUGUUUAGCGCUCACUUCUGCAGCACAUACGAUGCCGAGAACACUAGCACAGCACGUGUGCAAGGGUGACACGCAAAUUUGUGAAGCGUCCCAUAUUAAA